GGAUAGCUGUGUGGGUGUGUGUGCAAGUGUAGCCAUUGUGUGGGUAGCCGUGUGGGUAUAUGCAUAGGGUAUGAGUGCUGGGUGUAGACGUGGCAUGGGUGUGUGUGCAGGUCUGUUGGGUGUAGACAUGGUAGUGCGGGUAGCUGUGUGGGUGUAUGUGCAAGUGUAGACAUGGCGUGGGGGAGUGUAGGUGUUGGGCCUCUGGUAGUGUGGGUGUGUGCAGGUGUGGGGUGGUGUGGGUGCAGACGUCUGGGGGGUUGUGUGCGGGUGUUGGGUAUCCAUGUGUGGGGCUGUGUAGACGUCUAUGCAGGUGUGAGUGCAGGUGUAGACGGCGUAUGUGCAGGUGUUGUGUGUCUGGUGUGGGUAGUUGGGGUGCAUGCAGGUAUGUGUGUUGUGUCUAGACGUGUGGGUAGCUGUGGGGGUGUGCAGGUGUGUAUACUGGGUAUAGACGUGGCAUGGGUUGCUGGGUGUGUGUAGGUGUUGGGUAUUUGCAGGUGAGUGUUGGGCGUGGUGUGUGCAGGUGAGUGUUGGGCACGGGCAUGGUGGUGUGUGCAGGUGAGUGUUGGGCGCGGGCGUGGUGUGUGCAGGUGAGUGUUGGGUGCGGGCAUGGUGGUGUGUGCAGGUGAGUGUUGGGCGCGGGCGUG
rnacentral:lncRNA from 1 species